UACGUAGGGGGCGAGCGUUGUCCGGAAUCAUUGGGCGUAAAGCGCGUGUAGGCGGCCCGGUAAGUCCGCUGUGAAAGUCCAGGGCUCAACCCUGGAAUGCCGGUGGAUACUGUCGGGCUCGAAUCCGGAAGAGGAGAGCGGAAUUCCUGGUGUAGCGGUGGAAUGCGCAGAUAUCAGGAAGAACACCCGUGGCGAAGGCGGCUCUCUGGGACGGUACUGACGCUGAGACGCGAAAAGCGUGGGGAGCGAACAGG
rnacentral:rRNA from 1 species